rnacentral:rRNA from 1 species
UACGAGGGGGGCGAGCGUUGUUCGGAAUUAUUGGGCGUAAAGGGUGCGUAGGCGGUUCGGUAAGUUUCGUGUGAAAUCUUCGGGCUCAACUCGAAGUCUGCACGAGAUACUGCCGGGCUUGAGUGUGGGAGAGGUGAGUGGAAUUUUCGGUGUAGCGGUGAAAUGCGUAGAUAUCAAGAGGAACACCUGCGGCGAAGGCGGGUUGCUGGGCCGACACUGACGCUGAGGCGCGAAAGCCAGGGGAGCGAACGGG